rnacentral:rRNA from 1 species
UACACACCGCCCGUNACACCAUGGGAUUGGUUNCACCAGAAGUAGAUAGUCUAAACCGCAAGGGGGGGCUCUACCACGGUGUGGUCAAUGACUGGGGUG